AUGCACCCAUGUGCACGUGUCCACAUAUGUGAAGACAGGUGUGCGCAUGUGCACAAGUGUGCAGGGUGCACCCAUGUAAGAACCCUACAGACCUUUUUCCCAGGAGAAGGCUAUAUCCCCCCCAUGGUGUCAGGUGUCCACUCAAGCCCCCCAAGGGUGAGGGUGGGGAUGGGGAGAAAGGAAAAGUGCCUGGGAUGCCAGGCAGGAGUGCAGGCUCAGAUGGGCCCUGAGGUGGUCAGAGAGCUGAGCCAGGCAUCCAGUCUGUCCAGCAGCAAAGAUGUGGCCAGAGUGGUUCCCAGGAGGUGGAGGGGUGCUAUCCAGGCCCACCCCCUUCCCUCUUCAUUCUCCUGGGACAGUCACGGGAGCUUGUUUGUUGCUCAAAGUUCCCCUCAGCCCCUCCCUAACUACAAUGUCCCUUCCCUGGGCAUAGGCCCGAGUGUGAAGCCUGUGUAGCUGCUAGGAAUAGAAACGGGGCUCGUAUGCACUCAAGGGAGCCAACUCCAGCUCUGUAAAGCCUGGCGGGGGUGGGUGGCAGGCAGCAGAACGUCCCGUGGUUUAGGGUACCUCUCUCAUGGGCUGGCUGCCCACACCAUCUAUCCCCCAGCAGGACAGCUCUGGACAUAGCAGUUGCCCAAGUCCAAGCCAGCCCAUCUUGGCAACUCCUCCCCUGCCUGCCAGGGUGACUAUUUUUUGAGGUCUGCCGUGAUGCACAGAUCACUGAUUCAGUCGUGAGCUCACCCAGGACACAAGAGAAACAGGAGGGGCUGGCCCCCGGGCACCCCAGGCCCAGCAUCCUGGGCCCUCCCACCCCAUGGCCUUCCCUUUCUCCAUCUCUCCGUGGCUGGGUGCAGCGCAGACCUCAAGAGGCAGCUGGGGGAUGCGGAAAAAACAGGGACUUUCCCCACGGAAGCCCAGAACCCACACCCACCCAACCUCACCCCAGGGACCCCAGCACAGGUCGGCUUCCCCUUGUUAGAGGUAAAUGUCAUCCUGGGCAUCAUGUCUCUGGGGGAAAACGAUUCUCUGGGGCACCAUGCUGGCUCUGCUAGUCCCACAUCCUGUGUAGAGAGAAGGGCACUCCCUCCAAACUCCCCCCAGGAGGCGGAAAGCAGCCAAAUUCUCCUAUAGAAUAUGUUUACUGCUUCUUUGAAUGAAUGUGGAAAUUGCUCGUCCCAGUUUUAAAGUUACAUUUCAGUGGAGUUGGUUUCUCAGGAAACCUCCCAAACAACAGCAGGAAAUUCAAGCUUACCAGCUCGCGGCCUGACAGUGAGCCCUUCCCCUUACCCCUCCGGACUGCCUUAGCCACCUGGUGCUUGUUGACCAAUGCCUCGACCUCCCGCCUCCCGCCUCCCCACAAACCUGGUUACAUUUUUUCCCAGGUCAGGCCUCCAGGACCCCCACCCUCUGCACUGCCCUGGAUGCUGACAAACGCCCCCCAGACCCCAGCGUCUACUUCCUCCCGCCUCUGGCCCCAGAGGCUGAGCUCCACCGAGCCUCUGCCUCAGGAAAAAUGGCCAGGGUGCGCUCUGGUUGGGGGAGCCUGGAGCAUGGGGUAGGCAUGGGGGGUUGGCGGGGAGUGUUGUACUCAGAGUUCUCUGGGUCGCAACUCCAGCAGUCCCAGACCUUGCGUCCCUGCACGGCUCCCCUGCUGUCUUUGUGCAGCAAAAAGGGCAAAGCACAGGGACUGCAAGGCAGGUGCACCUGGUUAAAGGCGGCGCUGUGCGUGCACAGGUGAGUAGACCCAGGCUACUGGUAGCCUUCACCAGCACCACACCUGCUCCCACCUAUCUCUGCCUGACAGCUUUGCUCCUACCCGCGCCCUGCUCUUACCCCUGUACGGUCCGUGGCCCACGCCCCACUCCUGCCCCUGUCCCGCCCACACUCCUCUCCUCCAUACCACCUGCGUGCUGCCCCUGCCCACUCCUGUCGCCCAGGGCACUCACCCAGCAGGCAGAGAUCAGAGCAAGGCAUGCAGCAGCUCAUAUUGCCGAGUUCUUGCCCAGAGAUGCCUUUGUGUCCGCAAUUGGUGGGUUCUCGGUCUGACUUCAAAAACGAAGCUGUGGACCCUCACGAUGAGUGUUACAGUUCUUAAAGAUAGUGGUGUCUGGAGUUUGUUCCUUUAGACGUUCAAGAUGGGUCUGGAGCUGCUUCUUCUUGGUGGGUUCAUGACCUCGCUGUCAGGAGUGAAGCUGUAGACUUUCCUAGUAUUAUAGCUCUAUAAAGGCAACGCCUCUAGUUGUUGUUGGUUCUUCCCGGUGGGUUCAUGGUCUCAUUGGCUUCGAGAGUGAAGCGGCAGACUUUCCGCGGUGUUACAGCUCAUAAACGCAAAGUGGACCCAAACAAUAAUCAGCAGCAACAAUUACUGCAAAAAGCAAAAGAACAAAGCUGCCACAACUCAGAAGAGAACCCCAACAGGCUGUCACGACUGCCUGGGGCAACCUUUUUAUUCCCUUAUCUGACCCCACCCACAUCCUGCUGAUUGGUCUAUUUUACAGAGAGCCAAUUGGUCCAUUUUACAGAGAGCUGAUUGGUCCAUUUUGACAGAGUGCUGAUUGGUGCCUUUACAAUCCUUGAGCUAGACAGUCACAGAGUGCCUUAGACACACAGUUAACUAGAUACAGAGUAUCAAUUGGUGUAUUUACAAACCUUGAGCUAGACACAGAGUACUGAUUGGUGUGUUUACAAACCCUGAGCUACACACAGAGUGCUGAUUGGUUAAUUUACAAUCCUUGAGCUAGACACAGAGUCACAGAGUGCUAGUCCUCCAAGUCUCCACUAGGUUAGCUAGACACAGAGUACCAAUUGGUGUAUUCACCAAUCCUAAGCUAGACACAGAGUGCUUACUGGUGCAUUUACAAUCCUUGAGCUACACAGAGUGCUAGACGGAAAAGUUCUCCAAGUCCCCACUAGGUUAGCUAGAUGCAGAGUGCUGAUUGGUGCACAUACAAUCCUCCAGCUAGAUAUAAAAGUUCUCCAAGUCCCCAUCCUGUUCAGGAGCCCAGCUGCCUUCACCCAGUGGAUCCUGCA
ensembl:lncRNA